UUUCUAUGGAGAGUUUGAUCCUGGCUCAGGACGAACGCUGGCGGCGUGCCUAAUACAUGCAAGUCGAGCGGAGUUUUGAAAAGCUUGCUUUUCAAAACUUAGCGGCGGACGGGUGAGUAACACGUGGGCAACCUGCCCUUGAGACGGGGAUAACUCCGGGAAACCGGAGCUAAUACCGGAUAACACAUAUCUUCGCAUGAGGAUAUGUUAGAAGGUGGCUUUU
rnacentral:rRNA from 1 species